GAUGAACGCUAGCGGCAGGCUUAACACAUGCAAGUCGAGGGGCAGCAUGAGACGGAGAUUCGUCGAAGUCUUGAUGGCGACCGGCGCAAGGGUGCGUAACGCGUGAGCAACUUGCCCGUUUCAGGGGGAUAACCGGUGGAAACGCCGACUAAUACCCCAUGGCAUUGAGUUGAGGCAUCUCUACUCAAUUAAAGAAAUUCGGAUAAGGAUAGGCUCGCGUGACAUUAGCUAGACGGCGGGGUAACGGCCCACCGUGGCUACGAUGUCUAGGGGUUCUGAGAGGAAGGUCCCCCACACUGGAACUGAGACACGGUCCAGACUCCUACGGGAGGCAGCAGUGAGGAAUAUUGGUCAAUGGUCUGACGACUGAACCAGCCAUGCCGCGUGAAGGUCACGGCCCUAUGGGUCUUAAACUUCUUUUGCGAGGGAGCAAUAAGGCGCACGUGUGCGUCGAUGAGAGUACCUCGCGAAUAAGCAUCGGCUAACUCCG
rnacentral:rRNA from 1 species